ACGCUCGACACCUACGGGAGGCAGCAGUGGGGAAUAUUGCACAAUGGGGGAAACCCUGAUGCAGCAACGCCGCGUGAAGGAAGACGGUUUUCGGAUUGUAAACUUCUGUUCUUAGUGAAGAUAGUGACGGUAGCUAAGGAGCAAGCCACGGCUAACUACGUGUCAGCAGCCGCGGUAAUCUGAGGCGGCUGGCAAGGC
rnacentral:rRNA from 1 species